rnacentral:rRNA from 1 species
UGACCGCCUGGGAGUACGCCCGCAAGGUAAAACUCAAAGGAAUUGACGGGGACCCGCACAAGCGGUGGAUGAUGUGGAUUAAUUCGAUGCAACGCGAAAAACCUUACCUACCCUUGACAUGUCCAGAAGCCCGAAGAGAUUUGGGUGUGCCCGAAAGGGAGCUGGAACACAGGUGCUGCAUGGCUGUCGUCAGCUCGUGUCGUGAGAUGUUGGGUUAAGUCCCGCAACGAGCGCAACCCUUGUCGUUAAUUGCCAUCAUUUAGUUGGGCACUUUAACGAGACUGCCGGUGACAAACCGGAGGAAGGUGGGGAUGACGUCAAGUCCUCAUGGCCCUUAUGGGUAGGGCUUCACACGUCAUACAAUGGUCGGUACAGAGGGUUGCCAAGCCGCGAGGUGGAGCCAAUCCCAGAAAGCCGAUCGUAGUCCGGAUCGUAGGCUGCAACUCGCCUGCGUGAAGUCGGAAUCGCUAGUAAUCGCGGAUCAGCAUGUCGCGGUGAAUACGUUCCCGGGUCUUGUACACACCGCCCGUCACACCAUGGGAGCGGGUUCCGCCAGAAGUAGGUAGCCUAACCGCAAGGGGGGCGCUUACCACGGCGGGGUUCGUGACUGGGGUGAAGUCGUAACAAGGUAACCGUA